rnacentral:snoRNA from 1 species
UCGACGGAAGAUGGCCUACCUCCUUUGGCCGUCUUUUUGUGGCGUACGGGAGCCUGACUUCCUGUCUUUAUGGCACGGAUCUUCACGGUGUAUUCCCUUUCCACGCUGUCGUAGAGUGAACAUCAGUCCCCAGCCCUUGCAGGCUUGUGUGGACGAUAGCCUUGAAUAUUCCUUUUCUUCCCAGAGCCUUCGUGGCCGUGACUGGGAAGGGAAACCCUUCAAUGCACAUUC